GUCAAUUUUAAGCUUAUUGUAUCGUAUUCCAACAGGAUACAUUGAGUUACUUUAAUCUUUUUGAAUUUGUAAAGAUUUAUCUUGAAUCUCAGAAGUGACCUGUUUUAGAGAGAUUUCCAUGUGCUGCUAAGUAGAAUGUGUGUUCUUUGUUGUCAGGUCCAUUGGUGUCUGAUGUCAACUAAAGUAGUUUUUGUCCACUUGAUCUGUUUACUUAGUAAAGUGUAUUGAAAUCACCUGCUAGUGGAUUGAUAUUAAUCUGUGUCUUUAAAUCCAGUAGUACAUUUUUAAUGAAAUUGAGUGUACCAGAGUUUGGUGUAUAUAUGUUUAUAAUCGUAAUGUCUUCUUGGUUAACUGUUCCCUUGAUUAGAAUAAAAUAUCCCUCCUUAUCUCUUCUGAUUUGUUUCAGUUUGAAGUCUGUGUUUUCAGCUAUUAGGAUAAUAUUCUGCUUUGUUUCUUGACCAAUUCAGUUUGCCUAUGUUCCCUGAUUGAAGAAUUGAGGUCACUAAGAUCUCAAGUUAUUACUGAAAUGUGUUUGUUAAUUGAGGUCAUCAUGUUCUUGAUUUUGGGCACUGCUGUCUGUGUUCUCAGUGGACCUUGGUGUUUACAUUGUCUUUGUAUUCUUUUCCAAUGUCUCUUGGCUGUGUUUUCUUAGGUUUGGUUUGAUGGAUAUAAAAAUUUAAAAGCUGCUUGUAUCAUAGAAAAAUUUUCUUUUCUUUCAACUAUGGUAGGUACUUUUGCUGGGUAUAUUAGCCUAGGUUAGCCAUCAUGGUCUUUUAGGACUUGUAAUGCAUUGAUCUUAUGGCUUUCAUAGUUUCCACUUCUUUUUUUUUCUUCUCCAUCUUUAUUAACUUGAGUAUUUCUUAUUUACAUUUCGAUUGUUAUUCCCUUUCCCGGUUUCCGGGCCAACAUCCCCCUAACCCUCCCCCUCCUCUUCUGUAUGGGUGUUCCCCUUUCCAUCCUCCCCCCAUAGUUUCCACUUCUUAUACCCGUGUGAGUAUGUCUUUUCUUACUUCGGAAAGUUUUCUUCAAUGAUCUUGUUGAAGGUCUGUUUUAUGCAAUUGAGUUGGAAUUCUCUCUCAUCUAUGGGUAUAAUUCUAAUCUUUGGCCUUUUCAUGGUGUCCUACAUUUCCAAUAUGUUGUUUUCUUGUGCUUAAAUUUUCUUUUCUAUUACUUGCUUAUUUGAUUUAGAUCUAUUCUAUCUUUGAGUCCUGGUAUAACAUUGUCUGCUUGCUCCGUUCUUCUCAUGAUACUUUCCUUUGAGUUUUCUAACUGGGCUAUCCAGCUUUUCAGUUCCAUCCUCAUUUCAGCUUGAAUCCUUUUCUUUUUUUAAAAAAGAUUUAUUUAUUUUUAUUUAUAUGAGUACACUGCAGCUGUCUUCAGACGCACCAGAAGAGAGCAUCAGAUCUCAUUACAGAUGGUUGUGAGCUACCAUGUGGUUGCUGGGACUUGAACUCAGGACCUUUGGAAGAGCAGUCAGUGCUCUUAACCGCUGAGCCAUCUUUCCAGCUCCAUGCUUGAGUCCUUUUCAAUGUUUCUAUUUCUUUAUUGAAUUCUCUUCCCAAGUCCAGAAUUGCCUUCAUCAUUUACAUCAGCAUUAUGCUUCUGUUUCCUUUGGUAUCAUUCAUGCAUUUAUCCUCCUCAAUUCCUUUUCUUAAUUUCAUUGAGAUUUUUUUCUCUUCUCACUUCAUUUUUUCUUUCUUUGUUGUUGUUGUUGCUGCUCCUCCUCCUCCUCUUCUUUCUUCUUCUUCUUCUUUUCCUUCUUCUUCUUCUUCUUCUUCUUCUUCUUCUUCUUCUUCUUCUUCUUCUUCUUCUUCUUCUUCUCCCCCUCCUCCUUCUUUCUUCUUCUUGUUUUUGUCCUUUCUAAACUUUUUGAAUUCUUUGAUGAAAUUUAUGAUUGUUCUUUUGAACUCUGUGUCCAUUUACUUGGGAUUGUCCAGGUAUUUCUCAUUUGACAAACAUUUUACAGGACUGGUAGGUUUUGGAGAUGACAUCAUGGCCUGAUCUUUCAUAUUGUUUGUACUUUUGCAGUGAGAUUUGAGUGUGUGGACCUCUUUUGUUAGUUCUAUGUUUGAUACAAACAGAGCAGGUUAGAGCAGAAUAGAGGGUGUAAGGGCAGAUUUGGUCAAGAAGUUGGAAAUAGUUUAGGUAGGAUGAAGCCAGGUGUACAGAGCAGGAUGUGUAACAUGGUCCAAGCCAGGAGUGUGGUGGUGGAUCUGGCUGGGUGUAAAGCUUCAAUUUGGCUUGGGGAGCAGACAGAACAGGUCCUGAUAGGUGUCUAAGUGCUGGUUGAAGUACAGGUACGGGUUGCCGGAUAGGCCAAGACAUUUGAUGUGGGACCCAACCUAGAUCUAGAGGGUUGGGCAGUGUGUGCCAAAGGGGAGAGUCAGGCUGACUUACAGGGCUGGACACUUGAGAAGCUGCGAUGGGAUUUUUACUAGAGCUGAGCCAACAUAGGCACUGUGCCCAUGAACCUCCAAAACUGUGGGCCAAAUAAGUCUCUUCUCUGUAAGAAGCUAGCUUUUGUUGUGAUAAAAGAAAAUGAAUAGACCAAAUGAGUUCAGAGUUCAGUCAGGAAAGUGUUUGCCAUGUAAAUAAAAGGACCUGAGUUCAACAACCAGAACUCAAGUAAAGUUAAAAAUCAAGUGUGAGGGGAGGGAGGGCAUGUUUGUGAUCUCAGACUGGGUAAGCACAGAUACAAAGAUCCAGGAGACUCAUUGGACCUAACCUAGUUGGUAACCUCCAGGUCCUAGUAAGAGACACUGCCUCAAAAAACCCAGGGGAAUAAAGACACUGGGGGUUGACCUUUGUCUUAUGCUCUCUCUCUCUCUCUCUCUCUCUCUCUCUCUCUCUCUCUCUCUUUCUCUCUCUCUCACACAUGCACAUGUACACACACACAAACAUGCACAGUCACACACACUACACUCCACACUUACCAACACACACGUCAUACCCUCCCACAUCUCUCUCACACAGACACACACACACACACACACACAGACACACACACCCUGCAUACAUGCACACUCUGUCAAUUCUUGUCCUUUCUUUUUCCAGAGCUCCAAAGAGGUCAUUGUGAUGGUUUGAAUAUGUUUGGCCCAGGGAGUGGCACUAUUAGGAGGUGUGGUCUUGUUGGAGUAGGUGUGGUCUUCUUGGAGGAAUUCGUCACUGUGGGUGUGGGCUUUAAGACCCUUCUCCACUGCCUGGAAGCAAGUCUUCUCCUAGAGGCUGUCAGAUGAAGGUGUAGAACUCUCAGCUCCUCCUGUACCAUCCCUGCCUGGACACUGUCAUGUUCCCACCUUGAUGAUGAUGGACGGAAUCUCUGAACCUGUAAAUCAGCCCCAAUGAAACAUUGUCCUUAUAAGAGUUGCCUUGGUCAUGGUGUCUGUUCACGGUAGUAAAACCCUAACUAAGACAGCCAUGUCUGGGCUGAAAUCUCCAAAGGGAGAAUUGCUGAGUUUUAAGCUGACUUCACUCCAGGUGGGCAAGUCUGGGAGAGCAAGUAGAGGGGAAGCCUCAUGCAGUGACAGGAGUAGGGGACAGGUCAGGAGGGUUUGUUUGCCAGCAGUAUUUUUAUGGCAGUCAUCUCCUGUAUGACACUAGGGAAAAAGUAAGAACCCGAGGGAGGCAUUUUGAACAUGCACAUUCCUUUGAACAUAGCGUCACUCUGACAGAUAAACUCACACUCGUGCAGGGGUACAGAUUCGCCCACACUUGUGUACUGUGUAUUGACUGUGAUGACAAAGCUCUGAUCCAACCUACCUGGUUAUCAACCAAGGACUGUUCCAGUGAGUAUAGAAGACCCUGCACAAGAGACAGCUAUUCUCCACAUAGAAGGGUAUUGUUUUCAUUUUACCUGUAUGGAUUUUCUCUUCCAUAUAUGUAAGGCUAUGUACCACACAUGUGUCUAGUGCCUAUAGAAGGUGGAAGAGGCCAUCAGAUGCCCUGGAACUGGAAUUAUAGACAGUUGUGAGCUGUCAUGUGGGUGCUGUGAAUCAAGACUAGGUCCUCUGGAAUAACUGUACGUGCUCAUUACUCUUGUGAAUUUGGUCUAAUGCUGCUUAUAUUGUGUUCAUCUGGUCCCCCAGAUUGCACAAGAAUCCACACAUCCCCUGUCAGACACUGAGGGACCCUGCCCCCAGUUGGUUUUGAUUGGUAAAUAAAAUUGCUGGCGGCCAAUGGCUUGGCAGGGAGACAGAGGCGGGAUUUUAGGACUCCCUGGGCAAGGGGCUGAGGAAGGAGCAGGUAGAAGAUAGCUGUCAUGCCAGGGAUGGAAAGGGAGCAUCACACCUGAGAGGUGCAGGACAGAGAGACAGCCAACGCAUAAGAGCUGGGGAAGAGCAGCCUCAGGGAGUCUUCCAACUGGGUCUAGGGCAAUGAAGAUGGGAUAUAGAUUUUGGUAAUUACUCAGGAAUAUCAGAUGGGUGUGUAUUAGCCACACGGAGGUUUGGAAGUGGCUCAGCCAUUGAGCUAUUUAAGGCAUAUUAAAUAUAAGGCCGUGUGUGUGUGUGUGUGUGUGUGUGUGUGUGUGUGUGUGUGUGAGAAAGAGAGAGAGAGAGAGAGAGAGAGAGAGAGAGAGAGAGAGAGAGAGAGAACCCAGAAUGUUGGCAUGGGUAGCAAGGACUACUGCCACCUAAUUGGGGACAGCAAUACACUAUCACUGAGCUUUUUCUCUAGCCUGAGAUACAACUCUUUAAUUUCUCCAGAUCCUCAUUUAUACAGAGAAAUAGGAGGCAAAAAUCAAAAGCCCGAGGGCAAUAUUUACAACAGAAUUAGGCCCCAAAUUAUCAUUGCUAAUAUCAAUGUACAUAAGCCAAGCACCAAGACUUGCAUGCUACCCAGGGCCAAGGAAAGUAAGGAAUCCAGAAAGGUAGAUGCAAAGAGCCAACAACAACAGAGUCUCAGAACAAUCCAGGCUUUCAAGAGAAAGUUCAGGUGAUCAACUGAGACAGUGGAACCAUGAGUUCUGCCCGGCAAGGAACAAUGGAAAAGCCCCAAGACAAGGAGCAAGGGGACAGAGCAGUCACUUUGGACAGAAGAGUCAAAAUGGAACAGGGCAGUGCUAAGAGGAAGAGGAAGGAAAGACUGUGUGUGUGUGUGUGUGUGUGUGUGUGUGUGUGUGUGUGUGUGUGUCCUCAGGACACAUGGACAUUAGGAAUGUGGGACAAAGGUGAAAAGCCAACAGACUUUCACUAUGUACCUCUUGAGCUUUCACUGCUCCUGUUAUUCCUCAGGGGGGGGGGGAAUUCUCAAAGAGUCAGAAGCUCUGUUCCCUCUAAUUUUCUGUUUGUCACACAGGGGGAGCUGUCUGUCUGACAGCUGUGAGGGUGGAGGCAAGGGCUCAGGGGGAGGGGGCAGGGGUAGGAGCACAGGGCUGCUGGCUGCUGCUUCAACACCUUUUGAGGCUACACAAACCAUAAGGCUUUCUCUCAUUUCAGCAUCCCCUCUGCCUGUUUCCUGGCUGGGUGUGAUUGAAGUUAGCCAGCGUUUGGAUGUCCCCAGGAACACCACUGAAUGGGUUUGGGGACGUUAGCUUUCUGUAGCGGGAGCAGAUGUCCGAAAUGAUCCUCUUUGGAACGUUUGUUUUGCUUGGUUCUUGAGGUCACAGUCAGUUAGGCGUUGCUUGGAGCACAGUGAACAGAAUCCCUCACUUCAUGGCCAGUAAGUAAAGGAGGGGCAGAGGGAGGGCAUGCUUCGAAUAAUCCUGAAGACCUCUCAGCGGGCUCCACUUCUUAAAGCCCCACAACAUGCUUUAGCUCCAUUCUGGGGACGGACAUGCUUCAACACCGGACAUCCACGGAAUUAGAGGUCUGAACUCCAGCAAUGUCCUCACAGUAUUCACCGAGGGGCAACCACAGCGCUGGUUUCUCCAUAUCCUCUUCUUCCUGUGACUGCUCAGACUGACCCUAACCUCCACCCUCAAUCUUAUAGAUACUGGAAUCAUGAGUUGUGGCACCAUUCCAAGUCUGGCCACUUUUAAGACAUAAUACAGUUUCUUUUUUGCUUACAUGUAUGAUAAGUGUGUGUAUAUGUGCAUGGUGUGUGUGUGCAUGUGUGCGUGUGUGUGUGUGUGUGUGUGUGUGUGUGUGUGUGUGUGUGAAUGUGGGCCCACAUGUGUGGAGGUCAGAGGAUGGCUUUCCCUUUCUACCCUGGGUUCCAGAGCCUGAACUCAGACUUGGUUGACAAUCAGACUUGUGCUGAGUGUCUUGCUGGCCCACAUUUCACCAUUUUUUCACCGGAAGAGACAGUCAAAGCUGGAGAGUGCUCCAUAGUACAGCCAUUCCUGGAAUUUGCAAGGAUUAGAUCCCCAACACCAUAAACAAGUAAAAGGCAAUCAGUUGCUAUUGUCAAGGGUUGCACCAAUUUAUAAUCUCAACCACAGUACAAAACACAAUCCUUGUGCCGCUCUCCUGAGACUCUCCCUCAGUACCGAGUAUAGAGCCACCAUAAAGAGGCUCAUGUGAGAAUCUGUGUGGCACCCCUUUCUCUUUCUCCACAUCCCUGCCGACAUUUCUGUUCAUUCAUUUUCUUGAUGGUGGCUACUCUGAUGGGGUGGGAUGGUCUAUUAAUGUGAUUUCAGUUUAUAUUUCCCUCCUAGUUCAGGACAUUGAUCAGAUUUCCAAUGUUUAUUGGCCAUUUGUAUUUCUGCUUUUGAGAAUGGUCUCACUCAUUUGUCCAUUUAUUGAUUGGAUGAUUUGCUUGCUAAUUUUUGUGGUGAUGGUAUUUAAUUCAGAGGAGGCCCCGUAGAUUCUGGGUGUCAAUCCCCGCUCUGGUGUACGGCUGCAGAUCUCUGGUUUUAUAGGCUCCUACUUUACCCUUGUGACUCUUGGCAUUGUGGUGCAGAAACUUUUUUUUUUCUGUCAAUUUUAAGCUUAUUGUAUCGUAUUCCAACAGGAUACAUUGAGUUACUUUAAUCUUUUUGAAUUUGUAAAGAUUUAUCUUGAAUCUCAGAAGUGACCUGUUUUAGAGAGAUUUCCAUGUGCUGCUAAGUAGAAUGUGUGUUCUUUGUUGUCAGGUCCAUUGGUGUCUGAUGUCAACUAAAGUAGUUUUUGUCCACUUGAUCUGUUUACUUAGUAAAGUGUAUUGAAAUCACCUGCUAGUGGAUUGAUAUUAAUCUGUGUCUUUAAAUCCAGUAGUACAUUUUUAAUGAAAUUGAGUGUACCAGAGUUUGGUGUAUAUAUGUUUAUAAUCGUAAUGUCUUCUUGGUUAACUGUUCCCUUGAUUAGAAUAAAAUAUCCCUCCUUAUCUCUUCUGAUUUGUUUCAGUUUGAAGUCUGUGUUUUCAGCUAUUAGGAUAAUAUUCUGCUUUGUUUCUUGACCAAUUCAGUUUGCCUAUGUUCCCUGAUUGAAGAAUUGAGGUCACUAAGAUCUCAAGUUAUUACUGAAAUGUGUUUGUUAAUUGAGGUCAUCAUGUUCUUGAUUUUGGGCACUGCUGUCUGUGUUCUCAGUGGACCUUGGUGUUUACAUUGUCUUUGUAUUCUUUUCCAAUGUCUCUUGGCUGUGUUUUCUUAGGUUUGGUUUGAUGGAUAUAAAAAUUUAAAAGCUGCUUGUAUCAUAGAAAAAUUUUCUUUUCUUUCAACUAUGGUAGGUACUUUUGCUGGGUAUAUUAGCCUAGGUUAGCCAUCAUGGUCUUUUAGGACUUGUAAUGCAUUGAUCUUAUGGCUUUCAUAGUUUCCACUUCUUUUUUUUUCUUCUCCAUCUUUAUUAACUUGAGUAUUUCUUAUUUACAUUUCGAUUGUUAUUCCCUUUCCCGGUUUCCGGGCCAACAUCCCCCUAACCCUCCCCCUCCUCUUCUGUAUGGGUGUUCCCCUUUCCAUCCUCCCCCCAUAGUUUCCACUUCUUAUACCCGUGUGAGUAUGUCUUUUCUUACUUCGGAAAGUUUUCUUCAAUGAUCUUGUUGAAGGUCUGUUUUAUGCAAUUGAGUUGGAAUUCUCUCUCAUCUAUGGGUAUAAUUCUAAUCUUUGGCCUUUUCAUGGUGUCCUACAUUUCCAAUAUGUUGUUUUCUUGUGCUUAAAUUUUCUUUUCUAUUACUUGCUUAUUUGAUUUAGAUCUAUUCUAUCUUUGAGUCCUGGUAUAACAUUGUCUGCUUGCUCCGUUCUUCUCAUGAUACUUUCCUUUGAGUUUUCUAACUGGGCUAUCCAGCUUUUCAGUUCCAUCCUCAUUUCAGCUUGAAUCCUUUUCUUUUUUUAAAAAAGAUUUAUUUAUUUUUAUUUAUAUGAGUACACUGCAGCUGUCUUCAGACGCACCAGAAGAGAGCAUCAGAUCUCAUUACAGAUGGUUGUGAGCUACCAUGUGGUUGCUGGGACUUGAACUCAGGACCUUUGGAAGAGCAGUCAGUGCUCUUAACCGCUGAGCCAUCUUUCCAGCUCCAUGCUUGAGUCCUUUUCAAUGUUUCUAUUUCUUUAUUGAAUUCUCUUCCCAAGUCCAGAAUUGCCUUCAUCAUUUACAUCAGCAUUAUGCUUCUGUUUCCUUUGGUAUCAUUCAUGCAUUUAUCCUCCUCAAUUCCUUUUCUUAAUUUCAUUGAGAUUUUUUUCUCUUCUCACUUCAUUUUUUCUUUCUUUGUUGUUGUUGUUGCUGCUCCUCCUCCUCCUCUUCUUUCUUCUUCUUCUUCUUUUCCUUCUUCUUCUUCUUCUUCUUCUUCUUCUUCUUCUUCUUCUUCUUCUUCUUCUUCUUCUUCUUCUUCUCCCCCUCCUCCUUCUUUCUUCUUCUUGUUUUUGUCCUUUCUAAACUUUUUGAAUUCUUUGAUGAAAUUUAUGAUUGUUCUUUUGAACUCUGUGUCCAUUUACUUGGGAUUGUCCAGGUAUUUCUCAUUUGACAAACAUUUUACAGGACUGGUAGGUUUUGGAGAUGACAUCAUGGCCUGAUCUUUCAUAUUGUUUGUACUUUUGCAGUGAGAUUUGAGUGUGUGGACCUCUUUUGUUAGUUCUAUGUUUGAUACAAACAGAGCAGGUUAGAGCAGAAUAGAGGGUGUAAGGGCAGAUUUGGUCAAGAAGUUGGAAAUAGUUUAGGUAGGAUGAAGCCAGGUGUACAGAGCAGGAUGUGUAACAUGGUCCAAGCCAGGAGUGUGGUGGUGGAUCUGGCUGGGUGUAAAGCUUCAAUUUGGCUUGGGGAGCAGACAGAACAGGUCCUGAUAGGUGUCUAAGUGCUGGUUGAAGUACAGGUACGGGUUGCCGGAUAGGCCAAGACAUUUGAUGUGGGACCCAACCUAGAUCUAGAGGGUUGGGCAGUGUGUGCCAAAGGGGAGAGUCAGGCUGACUUACAGGGCUGGACACUUGAGAAGCUGCGAUGGGAUUUUUACUAGAGCUGAGCCAACAUAGGCACUGUGCCCAUGAACCUCCAAAACUGUGGGCCAAAUAAGUCUCUUCUCUGUAAGAAGCUAGCUUUUGUUGUGAUAAAAGAAAAUGAAUAGACCAAAUGAGUUCAGAGUUCAGUCAGGAAAGUGUUUGCCAUGUAAAUAAAAGGACCUGAGUUCAACAACCAGAACUCAAGUAAAGUUAAAAAUCAAGUGUGAGGGGAGGGAGGGCAUGUUUGUGAUCUCAGACUGGGUAAGCACAGAUACAAAGAUCCAGGAGACUCAUUGGACCUAACCUAGUUGGUAACCUCCAGGUCCUAGUAAGAGACACUGCCUCAAAAAACCCAGGGGAAUAAAGACACUGGGGGUUGACCUUUGUCUUAUGCUCUCUCUCUCUCUCUCUCUCUCUCUCUCUCUCUCUCUUUCUCUCUCUCUCACACAUGCACAUGUACACACACACAAACAUGCACAGUCACACACACUACACUCCACACUUACCAACACACACGUCAUACCCUCCCACAUCUCUCUCACACAGACACACACACACACACACACACAGACACACACACCCUGCAUACAUGCACACUCUGUCAAUUCUUGUCCUUUCUUUUUCCAGAGCUCCAAAGAGGUCAUUGUGAUGGUUUGAAUAUGUUUGGCCCAGGGAGUGGCACUAUUAGGAGGUGUGGUCUUGUUGGAGUAGGUGUGGUCUUCUUGGAGGAAUUCGUCACUGUGGGUGUGGGCUUUAAGACCCUUCUCCACUGCCUGGAAGCAAGUCUUCUCCUAGAGGCUGUCAGAUGAAGGUGUAGAACUCUCAGCUCCUCCUGUACCAUCCCUGCCUGGACACUGUCAUGUUCCCACCUUGAUGAUGAUGGACGGAAUCUCUGAACCUGUAAAUCAGCCCCAAUGAAACAUUGUCCUUAUAAGAGUUGCCUUGGUCAUGGUGUCUGUUCACGGUAGUAAAACCCUAACUAAGACAGCCAUGUCUGGGCUGAAAUCUCCAAAGGGAGAAUUGCUGAGUUUUAAGCUGACUUCACUCCAGGUGGGCAAGUCUGGGAGAGCAAGUAGAGGGGAAGCCUCAUGCAGUGACAGGAGUAGGGGACAGGUCAGGAGGGUUUGUUUGCCAGCAGUAUUUUUAUGGCAGUCAUCUCCUGUAUGACACUAGGGAAAAAGUAAGAACCCGAGGGAGGCAUUUUGAACAUGCACAUUCCUUUGAACAUAGCGUCACUCUGACAGAUAAACUCACACUCGUGCAGGGGUACAGAUUCGCCCACACUUGUGUACUGUGUAUUGACUGUGAUGACAAAGCUCUGAUCCAACCUACCUGGUUAUCAACCAAGGACUGUUCCAGUGAGUAUAGAAGACCCUGCACAAGAGACAGCUAUUCUCCACAUAGAAGGGUAUUGUUUUCAUUUUACCUGUAUGGAUUUUCUCUUCCAUAUAUGUAAGGCUAUGUACCACACAUGUGUCUAGUGCCUAUAGAAGGUGGAAGAGGCCAUCAGAUGCCCUGGAACUGGAAUUAUAGACAGUUGUGAGCUGUCAUGUGGGUGCUGUGAAUCAAGACUAGGUCCUCUGGAAUAACUGUACGUGCUCAUUACUCUUGUGAAUUUGGUCUAAUGCUGCUUAUAUUGUGUUCAUCUGGUCCCCCAGAUUGCACAAGAAUCCACACAUCCCCUGUCAGACACUGAGGGACCCUGCCCCCAGUUGGUUUUGAUUGGUAAAUAAAAUUGCUGGCGGCCAAUGGCUUGGCAGGGAGACAGAGGCGGGAUUUUAGGACUCCCUGGGCAAGGGGCUGAGGAAGGAGCAGGUAGAAGAUAGCUGUCAUGCCAGGGAUGGAAAGGGAGCAUCACACCUGAGAGGUGCAGGACAGAGAGACAGCCAACGCAUAAGAGCUGGGGAAGAGCAGCCUCAGGGAGUCUUCCAACUGGGUCUAGGGCAAUGAAGAUGGGAUAUAGAUUUUGGUAAUUACUCAGGAAUAUCAGAUGGGUGUGUAUUAGCCACACGGAGGUUUGGAAGUGGCUCAGCCAUUGAGCUAUUUAAGGCAUAUUAAAUAUAAGGCCGUGUGUGUGUGUGUGUGUGUGUGUGUGUGUGUGUGUGUGUGAGAAAGAGAGAGAGAGAGAGAGAGAGAGAGAGAGAGAGAGAGAGAGAGAGAGAGAACCCAGAAUGUUGGCAUGGGUAGCAAGGACUACUGCCACCUAAUUGGGGACAGCAAUACACUAUCACUGAGCUUUUUCUCUAGCCUGAGAUACAACUCUUUAAUUUCUCCAGAUCCUCAUUUAUACAGAGAAAUAGGAGGCAAAAAUCAAAAGCCCGAGGGCAAUAUUUACAACAGAAUUAGGCCCCAAAUUAUCAUUGCUAAUAUCAAUGUACAUAAGCCAAGCACCAAGACUUGCAUGCUACCCAGGGCCAAGGAAAGUAAGGAAUCCAGAAAGGUAGAUGCAAAGAGCCAACAACAACAGAGUCUCAGAACAAUCCAGGCUUUCAAGAGAAAGUUCAGGUGAUCAACUGAGACAGUGGAACCAUGAGUUCUGCCCGGCAAGGAACAAUGGAAAAGCCCCAAGACAAGGAGCAAGGGGACAGAGCAGUCACUUUGGACAGAAGAGUCAAAAUGGAACAGGGCAGUGCUAAGAGGAAGAGGAAGGAAAGACUGUGUGUGUGUGUGUGUGUGUGUGUGUGUGUGUGUGUGUGUGUGUGUGUCCUCAGGACACAUGGACAUUAGGAAUGUGGGACAAAGGUGAAAAGCCAACAGACUUUCACUAUGUACCUCUUGAGCUUUCACUGCUCCUGUUAUUCCUCAGGGGGGGGGGGAAUUCUCAAAGAGUCAGAAGCUCUGUUCCCUCUAAUUUUCUGUUUGUCACACAGGGGGAGCUGUCUGUCUGACAGCUGUGAGGGUGGAGGCAAGGGCUCAGGGGGAGGGGGCAGGGGUAGGAGCACAGGGCUGCUGGCUGCUGCUUCAACACCUUUUGAGGCUACACAAACCAUAAGGCUUUCUCUCAUUUCAGCAUCCCCUCUGCCUGUUUCCUGGCUGGGUGUGAUUGAAGUUAGCCAGCGUUUGGAUGUCCCCAGGAACACCACUGAAUGGGUUUGGGGACGUUAGCUUUCUGUAGCGGGAGCAGAUGUCCGAAAUGAUCCUCUUUGGAACGUUUGUUUUGCUUGGUUCUUGAGGUCACAGUCAGUUAGGCGUUGCUUGGAGCACAGUGAACAGAAUCCCUCACUUCAUGGCCAGUAAGUAAAGGAGGGGCAGAGGGAGGGCAUGCUUCGAAUAAUCCUGAAGACCUCUCAGCGGGCUCCACUUCUUAAAGCCCCACAACAUGCUUUAGCUCCAUUCUGGGGACGGACAUGCUUCAACACCGGACAUCCACGGAAUUAGAGGUCUGAACUCCAGCAAUGUCCUCACAGUAUUCACCGAGGGGCAACCACAGCGCUGGUUUCUCCAUAUCCUCUUCUUCCUGUGACUGGUAAAGGCUGCCCCACCUAACAUUAAGCUGGGCACACUCUUCUUUACCCCCCUGCUUUAGAAUGUAUGGGGCUUAACAGAGAUCCCUCCCCCCCCCCCCAGAGAAAUAGCUUGGCACUGAGAUAUUUAACUUGGGUUGCGUUUCAUAUAGAAUUUCAAUAUUCAAAACGGUUUGGGUAGAUUGCUUCUUUAAUAAGCUCCGUUAUUUCUCAACACUGUAUGUUCUUGGGUGACAUGUACAGUGACUUCAGAGGCUUAUAAUAUCUGAAAAGAAAAGAAAAUUGAGAGUUACUUGGAACAGUGUGUUCUGAAUAAGAGGGUGUCUACACAGACGUUAAACUGUCUUAAAGUUUAUUUCGAUUAUUUCAAAAAUUAUUUGAAAAAUGAUGGAGGCCUGUAUUUUAUAGAGAUUCUUUUUUUCCUGGGCCAUGUAAAUGAAUAUCCUUUUUUUUUUUUUUUUUUGGUUUCUUUUUUUCGGAGCUGGGGACCGAACCCAGGGCCUUGCGUUUCCUAGAUAAGCGCUCUACCACUGAGCUAAAUCCCCAGCCCCGUAAAUGAAUAUCCUUAUAUUUGUUGCUGAUCUCUCUCUCUCUCUCUCUCUCUCUCUCUCUCUCUCUCUCUCUCUCUGAUUUGCGUGUAGCUCAGACUGACCCUAACCUCCACCCUCAAUCUUAUAGAUACUGGAAUCAUGAGUUGUGGCACCAUUCCAAGUCUGGCCACUUUUAAGACAUAAUACAGUUUCUUUUUUGCUUACAUGUAUGAUAAGUGUGUGUAUAUGUGCAUGGUGUGUGUGUGCAUGUGUGCGUGUGUGUGUGUGUGUGUGUGUGUGUGUGUGUGUGUGUGUGAAUGUGGGCCCACAUGUGUGGAGGUCAGAGGAUGGCUUUCCCUUUCUACCCUGGGUUCCAGAGCCUGAACUCAGACUUGGUUGACAAUCAGACUUGUGCUGAGUGUCUUGCUGGCCCACAUUUCACCAUUUUUUCACCGGAAGAGACAGUCAAAGCUGGAGAGUGCUCCAUAGUACAGCCAUUCCUGGAAUUUGCAAGGAUUAGAUCCCCAACACCAUAAACAAGUAAAAGGCAAUCAGUUGCUAUUGUCAAGGGUUGCACCAAUUUAUAAUCUCAACCACAGUACAAAACACAAUCCUUGUGCCGCUCUCCUGAGACUCUCCCUCAGUACCGAGUAUAGAGCCACCAUAAAGAGGCUCAUGUGAGAAUCUGUGUGGCACCCCUUUCUCUUUCUCCACAUCCCUGCCGACAUUUCUGUUCAUUCAUUUUCUUGAUGGUGGCUACUCUGAUGGGGUGGGAUGGUCUAUUAAUGUGAUUUCAGUUUAUAUUUCCCUCCUAGUUCAGGACAUUGAUCAGAUUUCCAAUGUUUAUUGGCCAUUUGUAUUUCUGCUUUUGAGAAUGGUCUCACUCAUUUGUCCAUUUAUUGAUUGGAUGAUUUGCUUGCUAAUUUUUGUGGUGAUGGUAUUUAAUUCAGAGGAGGCCCCGUAGAUUCUGGGUGUCAAUCCCCGCUCUGGUGUACGGCUGCAGAUCUCUGGUUUUAUAGGCUCCUACUUUACCCUUGUGACUCUUGGCAUUGUGGUGCAGAAACUUUUUUUUUUCUGUCAAUUUUAAGCUUAUUGUAUCGUAUUCCAACAGGAUACAUUGAGUUACUUUAAUCUUUUUGAAUUUGUAAAGAUUUAUCUUGAAUCUCAGAAGUGACCUGUUUUAGAGAGAUUUCCAUGUGCUGCUAAGUAGAAUGUGUGUUCUUUGUUGUCAGGUCCAUUGGUGUCUGAUGUCAACUAAAGUAGUUUUUGUCCACUUGAUCUGUUUACUUAGUAAAGUGUAUUGAAAUCACCUGCUAGUGGAUUGAUAUUAAUCUGUGUCUUUAAAUCCAGUAGUACAUUUUUAAUGAAAUUGAGUGUACCAGAGUUUGGUGUAUAUAUGUUUAUAAUCGUAAUGUCUUCUUGGUUAACUGUUCCCUUGAUUAGAAUAAAAUAUCCCUCCUUAUCUCUUCUGAUUUGUUUCAGUUUGAAGUCUGUGUUUUCAGCUAUUAGGAUAAUAUUCUGCUUUGUUUCUUGACCAAUUCAGUUUGCCUAUGUUCCCUGAUUGAAGAAUUGAGGUCACUAAGAUCUCAAGUUAUUACUGAAAUGUGUUUGUUAAUUGAGGUCAUCAUGUUCUUGAUUUUGGGCACUGCUGUCUGUGUUCUCAGUGGACCUUGGUGUUUACAUUGUCUUUGUAUUCUUUUCCAAUGUCUCUUGGCUGUGUUUUCUUAGGUUUGGUUUGAUGGAUAUAAAAAUUUAAAAGCUGCUUGUAUCAUAGAAAAAUUUUCUUUUCUUUCAACUAUGGUAGGUACUUUUGCUGGGUAUAUUAGCCUAGGUUAGCCAUCAUGGUCUUUUAGGACUUGUAAUGCAUUGAUCUUAUGGCUUUCAUAGUUUCCACUUCUUUUUUUUUCUUCUCCAUCUUUAUUAACUUGAGUAUUUCUUAUUUACAUUUCGAUUGUUAUUCCCUUUCCCGGUUUCCGGGCCAACAUCCCCCUAACCCUCCCCCUCCUCUUCUGUAUGGGUGUUCCCCUUUCCAUCCUCCCCCCAUAGUUUCCACUUCUUAUACCCGUGUGAGUAUGUCUUUUCUUACUUCGGAAAGUUUUCUUCAAUGAUCUUGUUGAAGGUCUGUUUUAUGCAAUUGAGUUGGAAUUCUCUCUCAUCUAUGGGUAUAAUUCUAAUCUUUGGCCUUUUCAUGGUGUCCUACAUUUCCAAUAUGUUGUUUUCUUGUGCUUAAAUUUUCUUUUCUAUUACUUGCUUAUUUGAUUUAGAUCUAUUCUAUCUUUGAGUCCUGGUAUAACAUUGUCUGCUUGCUCCGUUCUUCUCAUGAUACUUUCCUUUGAGUUUUCUAACUGGGCUAUCCAGCUUUUCAGUUCCAUCCUCAUUUCAGCUUGAAUCCUUUUCUUUUUUUAAAAAAGAUUUAUUUAUUUUUAUUUAUAUGAGUACACUGCAGCUGCCUUCAGACGCACCAGAAGAGAGCAUCAGAUCUCAUUACAGAUGGUUGUGAGCUACCAUGUGGUUGCUGGGACUUGAACUCAGGACCUUUGGAAGAGCAGUCAGUGCUCUUAACCGCUGAGCCAUCUUUCCAGCUCCAUGCUUGAGUCCUUUUCAAUGUUUCUAUUUCUUUAUUGAAUUCUCUUCCCAAGUCCAGAAUUGCCUUCAUCAUUUACAUCAGCAUUAUGCUUCUGUUUCCUUUGGUAUCAUUCAUGCAUUUAUCCUCCUCAAUUCCUUUUCUUAAUUUCAUUGAGAUUUUUUUCUCUUCUCACUUCAUUUUUUCUUUCUUUGUUGUUGUUGUUGCUGCUCCUCCUCCUCCUCUUCUUUCUUCUUCUUCUUCUUUUCCUUCUUCUUCUUCUUCUUCUUCUUCUUCUUCUUCUUCUUCUUCUUCUUCUUCUUCUUCUUCUUCUUCUUCUUCUUCUUCUUCUCCCCCUCCUCCUUCUUUCUUCUUCUUGUUUUUGUCCUUUCUAAACUUUUUGAAUUCUUUGAUGAAAUUUAUGAUUGUUCUUUUGAACUCUGUGUCCAUUUACUUGGGAUUGUCCAGGUAUUUCUCAUUUGACAAACAUUUUACAGGACUGGUAGGUUUUGGAGAUGACAUCAUGGCCUGAUCUUUCAUAUUGUUUGUACUUUUGCAGUGAGAUUUGAGUGUGUGGACCUCUUUUGUUAGUUCUAUGUUUGAUACAAACAGAGCAGGUUAGAGCAGAAUAGAGGGUGUAAGGGCAGAUUUGGUCAAGAAGUUGGAAAUAGUUUAGGUAGGAUGAAGCCAGGUGUACAGAGCAGGAUGUGUAACAUGGUCCAAGCCAGGAGUGUGGUGGUGGAUCUGGCUGGGUGUAAAGCUUCAAUUUGGCUUGGGGAGCAGACAGAACAGGUCCUGAUAGGUGUCUAAGUGCUGGUUGAAGUACAGGUACGGGUUGCCGGAUAGGCCAAGACAUUUGAUGUGGGACCCAACCUAGAUCUAGAGGGUUGGGCAGUGUGUGCCAAAGGGGAGAGUCAGGCUGACUUACAGGGCUGGACACUUGAGAAGCUGCGAUGGGAUUUUUACUAGAGCUGAGCCAACAUAGGCACUGUGCCCAUGAACCUCCAAAACUGUGGGCCAAAUAAGUCUCUUCUCUGUAAGAAGCUAGCUUUUGUUGUGAUAAAAGAAAAUGAAUAGACCAAAUGAGUUCAGAGUUCAGUCAGGAAAGUGUUUGCCAUGUAAAUAAAAGGACCUGAGUUCAACAACCAGAACUCAAGUAAAGUUAAAAAUCAAGUGUGAGGGGAGGGAGGGCAUGUUUGUGAUCUCAGACUGGGUAAGCACAGAUACAAAGAUCCAGGAGACUCAUUGGACCUAACCUAGUUGGUAACCUCCAGGUCCUAGUAAGAGACACUGCCUCAAAAAACCCAGGGGAAUAAAGACACUGGGGGUUGACCUUUGUCUUAUGCUCUCUCUCUCUCUCUCUCUCUCUCUCUCUCUCUCUCUCUCUUUCUCUCUCUCUCACACAUGCACAUGUACACACACACAAACAUGCACAGUCACACACACUACACUCCACACUUACCAACACACACGUCAUACCCUCCCACAUCUCUCUCACACAGACACACACACACACACACACACAGACACACACACCCUGCAUACAUGCACACUCUGUCAAUUCUUGUCCUUUCUUUUUCCAGAGCUCCAAAGAGGUCAUUGUGAUGGUUUGAAUAUGUUUGGCCCAGGGAGUGGCACUAUUAGGAGGUGUGGUCUUGUUGGAGUAGGUGUGGUCUUCUUGGAGGAAUUCGUCACUGUGGGUGUGGGCUUUAAGACCCUUCUCCACUGCCUGGAAGCAAGUCUUCUCCUAGAGGCUGUCAGAUGAAGGUGUAGAACUCUCAGCUCCUCCUGUACCAUCCCUGCCUGGACACUGUCAUGUUCCCACCUUGAUGAUGAUGGACGGAAUCUCUGAACCUGUAAAUCAGCCCCAAUGAAACAUUGUCCUUAUAAGAGUUGCCUUGGUCAUGGUGUCUGUUCACGGUAGUAAAACCCUAACUAAGACAGCCAUGUCUGGGCUGAAAUCUCCAAAGGGAGAAUUGCUGAGUUUUAAGCUGACUUCACUCCAGGUGGGCAAGUCUGGGAGAGCAAGUAGAGGGGAAGCCUCAUGCAGUGACAGGAGUAGGGGACAGGUCAGGAGGGUUUGUUUGCCAGCAGUAUUUUUAUGGCAGUCAUCUCCUGUAUGACACUAGGGAAAAAGUAAGAACCCGAGGGAGGCAUUUUGAACAUGCACAUUCCUUUGAACAUAGCGUCACUCUGACAGAUAAACUCACACUCGUGCAGGGGUACAGAUUCGCCCACACUUGUGUACUGUGUAUUGACUGUGAUGACAAAGCUCUGAUCCAACCUACCUGGUUAUCAACCAAGGACUGUUCCAGUGAGUAUAGAAGACCCUGCACAAGAGACAGCUAUUCUCCACAUAGAAGGGUAUUGUUUUCAUUUUACCUGUAUGGAUUUUCUCUUCCAUAUAUGUAAGGCUAUGUACCACACAUGUGUCUAGUGCCUAUAGAAGGUGGAAGAGGCCAUCAGAUGCCCUGGAACUGGAAUUAUAGACAGUUGUGAGCUGUCAUGUGGGUGCUGUGAAUCAAGACUAGGUCCUCUGGAAUAACUGUACGUGCUCAUUACUCUUGUGAAUUUGGUCUAAUGCUGCUUAUAUUGUGUUCAUCUGGUCCCCCAGAUUGCACAAGAAUCCACACAUCCCCUGUCAGACACUGAGGGACCCUGCCCCCAGUUGGUUUUGAUUGGUAAAUAAAAUUGCUGGCGGCCAAUGGCUUGGCAGGGAGACAGAGGCGGGAUUUUAGGACUCCCUGGGCAAGGGGCUGAGGAAGGAGCAGGUAGAAGAUAGCUGUCAUGCCAGGGAUGGAAAGGGAGCAUCACACCUGAGAGGUGCAGGACAGAGAGACAGCCAACGCAUAAGAGCUGGGGAAGAGCAGCCUCAGGGAGUCUUCCAACUGGGUCUAGGGCAAUGAAGAUGGGAUAUAGAUUUUGGUAAUUACUCAGGAAUAUCAGAUGGGUGUGUAUUAGCCACACGGAGGUUUGGAAGUGGCUCAGCCAUUGAGCUAUUUAAGGCAUAUUAAAUAUAAGGCCGUGUGUGUGUGUGUGUGUGUGUGUGUGUGUGUGUGUGUGUGAGAAAGAGAGAGAGAGAGAGAGAGAGAGAGAGAGAGAGAGAGAGAGAGAGAGAGAGAGAACCCAGAAUGUUGGCAUGGGUAGCAAGGACUACUGCCACCUAAUUGGGGACAGCAAUACACUAUCACUGAGCUUUUUCUCUAGCCUGAGAUACAACUCUUUAAUUUCUCCAGAUCCUCAUUUAUACAGAGAAAUAGGAGGCAAAAAUCAAAAGCCCGAGGGCAAUAUUUACAACAGAAUUAGGCCCCAAAUUAUCAUUGCUAAUAUCAAUGUACAUAAGCCAAGCACCAAGACUUGCAUGCUACCCAGGGCCAAGGAAAGUAAGGAAUCCAGAAAGGUAGAUGCAAAGAGCCAACAACAACAGAGUCUCAGAACAAUCCAGGCUUUCAAGAGAAAGUUCAGGUGAUCAACUGAGACAGUGGAACCAUGAGUUCUGCCCGGCAAGGAACAAUGGAAAAGCCCCAAGACAAGGAGCAAGGGGACAGAGCAGUCACUUUGGACAGAAGAGUCAAAAUGGAACAGGGCAGUGCUAAGAGGAAGAGGAAGGAAAGACUGUGUGUGUGUGUGUGUGUGUGUGUGUGUGUGUGUGUGUGUGUCCUCAGGACACAUGGACAUUAGGAAUGUGGGACAAAGGUGAAAAGCCAACAGACUUUCACUAUGUACCUCUUGAGCUUUCACUGCUCCUGUUAUUCCUCAGGGGGGGGGGGAAUUCUCAAAGAGUCAGAAGCUCUGUUCCCUCUAAUUUUCUGUUUGUCACACAGGGGGAGCUGUCUGUCUGACAGCUGUGAGGGUGGAGGCAAGGGCUCAGGGGGAGGGGGCAGGGGUAGGAGCACAGGGCUGCUGGCUGCUGCUUCAACACCUUUUGAGGCUACACAAACCAUAAGGCUUUCUCUCAUUUCAGCAUCCCCUCUGCCUGUUUCCUGGCUGGGUGUGAUUGAAGUUAGCCAGCGUUUGGAUGUCCCCAGGAACACCACUGAAUGGGUUUGGGGACGUUAGCUUUCUGUAGCGGGAGCAGAUGUCCGAAAUGAUCCUCUUUGGAACGUUUGUUUUGCUUGGUUCUUGAGGUCACAGUCAGUUAGGCGUUGCUUGGAGCACAGUGAACAGAAUCCCUCACUUCAUGGCCAGUAAGUAAAGGAGGGGCAGAGGGAGGGCAUGCUUCGAAUAAUCCUGAAGACCUCUCAGCGGGCUCCACUUCUUAAAGCCCCACAACAUGCUUUAGCUCCAUUCUGGGGACGGACAUGCUUCAACACCGGACAUCCACGGAAUUAGAGGUCUGAACUCCAGCAAUGUCCUCACAGUAUUCACCGAGGGGCAACCACAGCGCUGGUUUCUCCAUAUCCUCUUCUUCCUGUGACUGCUCAGACUGACCCUAACCUCCACCCUCAAUCUUAUAGAUACUGGAAUCAUGAGUUGUGGCACCAUUCCAAGUCUGGCCACUUUUAAGACAUAAUACAGUUUCUUUUUUGCUUACAUGUAUGAUAAGUGUGUGUAUAUGUGCAUGGUGUGUGUGUGCAUGUGUGCGUGUGUGUGUGUGUGUGUGUGUGUGUGUGUGUGUGUGUGUGUGUGAAUGUGGGCCCACAUGUGUGGAGGUCAGAGGAUGGCUUUCCCUUUCUACCCUGGGUUCCAGAGCCUGAACUCAGACUUGGUUGACAAUCAGACUUGUGCUGAGUGUCUUGCUGGCCCACAUUUCACCAUUUUUUCACCGGAAGAGACAGUCAAAGCUGGAGAGUGCUCCAUAGUACAGCCAUUCCUGGAAUUUGCAAGGAUUAGAUCCCCAACACCAUAAACAAGUAAAAGGCAAUCAGUUGCUAUUGUCAAGGGUUGCACCAAUUUAUAAUCUCAACCACAGUACAAAACACAAUCCUUGUGCCGCUCUCCUGAGACUCUCCCUCAGUACCGAGUAUAGAGCCACCAUAAAGAGGCUCAUGUGAGAAUCUGUGUGGCACCCCUUUCUCUUUCUCCACAUCCCUGCCGACAUUUCUGUUCAUUCAUUUUCUUGAUGGUGGCUACUCUGAUGGGGUGGGAUGGUCUAUUAAUGUGAUUUCAGUUUAUAUUUCCCUCCUAGUUCAGGACAUUGAUCAGAUUUCCAAUGUUUAUUGGCCAUUUGUAUUUCUGCUUUUGAGAAUGGUCUCACUCAUUUGUCCAUUUAUUGAUUGGAUGAUUUGCUUGCUAAUUUUUGUGGUGAUGGUAUUUAAUUCAGAGGAGGCCCCGUAGAUUCUGGGUGUCAAUCCCCGCUCUGGUGUACGGCUGCAGAUCUCUGGUUUUAUAGGCUCCUACUUUACCCUUGUGACUCUUGGCAUUGUGGUGCAGAAACUUUUUUUUUUCUGUCAAUUUUAAGCUUAUUGUAUCGUAUUCCAACAGGAUACAUUGAGUUACUUUAAUCUUUUUGAAUUUGUAAAGAUUUAUCUUGAAUCUCAGAAGUGACCUGUUUUAGAGAGAUUUCCAUGUGCUGCUAAGUAGAAUGUGUGUUCUUUGUUGUCAGGUCCAUUGGUGUCUGAUGUCAACUAAAGUAGUUUUUGUCCACUUGAUCUGUUUACUUAGUAAAGUGUAUUGAAAUCACCUGCUAGUGGAUUGAUAUUAAUCUGUGUCUUUAAAUCCAGUAGUACAUUUUUAAUGAAAUUGAGUGUACCAGAGUUUGGUGUAUAUAUGUUUAUAAUCGUAAUGUCUUCUUGGUUAACUGUUCCCUUGAUUAGAAUAAAAUAUCCCUCCUUAUCUCUUCUGAUUUGUUUCAGUUUGAAGUCUGUGUUUUCAGCUAUUAGGAUAAUAUUCUGCUUUGUUUCUUGACCAAUUCAGUUUGCCUAUGUUCCCUGAUUGAAGAAUUGAGGUCACUAAGAUCUCAAGUUAUUACUGAAAUGUGUUUGUUAAUUGAGGUCAUCAUGUUCUUGAUUUUGGGCACUGCUGUCUGUGUUCUCAGUGGACCUUGGUGUUUACAUUGUCUUUGUAUUCUUUUCCAAUGUCUCUUGGCUGUGUUUUCUUAGGUUUGGUUUGAUGGAUAUAAAAAUUUAAAAGCUGCUUGUAUCAUAGAAAAAUUUUCUUUUCUUUCAACUAUGGUAGGUACUUUUGCUGGGUAUAUUAGCCUAGGUUAGCCAUCAUGGUCUUUUAGGACUUGUAAUGCAUUGAUCUUAUGGCUUUCAUAGUUUCCACUUCUUUUUUUUUCUUCUCCAUCUUUAUUAACUUGAGUAUUUCUUAUUUACAUUUCGAUUGUUAUUCCCUUUCCCGGUUUCCGGGCCAACAUCCCCCUAACCCUCCCCCUCCUCUUCUGUAUGGGUGUUCCCCUUUCCAUCCUCCCCCCAUAGUUUCCACUUCUUAUACCCGUGUGAGUAUGUCUUUUCUUACUUCGGAAAGUUUUCUUCAAUGAUCUUGUUGAAGGUCUGUUUUAUGCAAUUGAGUUGGAAUUCUCUCUCAUCUAUGGGUAUAAUUCUAAUCUUUGGCCUUUUCAUGGUGUCCUACAUUUCCAAUAUGUUGUUUUCUUGUGCUUAAAUUUUCUUUUCUAUUACUUGCUUAUUUGAUUUAGAUCUAUUCUAUCUUUGAGUCCUGGUAUAACAUUGUCUGCUUGCUCCGUUCUUCUCAUGAUACUUUCCUUUGAGUUUUCUAACUGGGCUAUCCAGCUUUUCAGUUCCAUCCUCAUUUCAGCUUGAAUCCUUUUCUUUUUUUAAAAAAGAUUUAUUUAUUUUUAUUUAUAUGAGUACACUGCAGCUGUCUUCAGACGCACCAGAAGAGAGCAUCAGAUCUCAUUACAGAUGGUUGUGAGCUACCAUGUGGUUGCUGGGACUUGAACUCAGGACCUUUGGAAGAGCAGUCAGUGCUCUUAACCGCUGAGCCAUCUUUCCAGCUCCAUGCUUGAGUCCUUUUCAAUGUUUCUAUUUCUUUAUUGAAUUCUCUUCCCAAGUCCAGAAUUGCCUUCAUCAUUUACAUCAGCAUUAUGCUUCUGUUUCCUUUGGUAUCAUUCAUGCAUUUAUCCUCCUCAAUUCCUUUUCUUAAUUUCAUUGAGAUUUUUUUCUCUUCUCACUUCAUUUUUUCUUUCUUUGUUGUUGUUGUUGCUGCUCCUCCUCCUCCUCUUCUUUCUUCUUCUUCUUCUUUUCCUUCUUCUUCUUCUUCUUCUUCUUCUUCUUCUUCUUCUUCUUCUUCUUCUUCUUCUUCUUCUUCUUCUUCUUCUUCUUCUCCCCCUCCUCCUUCUUUCUUCUUCUUGUUUUUGUCCUUUCUAAACUUUUUGAAUUCUUUGAUGAAAUUUAUGAUUGUUCUUUUGAACUCUGUGUCCAUUUACUUGGGAUUGUCCAGGUAUUUCUCAUUUGACAAACAUUUUACAGGACUGGUAGGUUUUGGAGAUGACAUCAUGGCCUGAUCUUUCAUAUUGUUUGUACUUUUGCAGUGAGAUUUGAGUGUGUGGACCUCUUUUGUUAGUUCUAUGUUUGAUACAAACAGAGCAGGUUAGAGCAGAAUAGAGGGUGUAAGGGCAGAUUUGGUCAAGAAGUUGGAAAUAGUUUAGGUAGGAUGAAGCCAGGUGUACAGAGCAGGAUGUGUAACAUGGUCCAAGCCAGGAGUGUGGUGGUGGAUCUGGCUGGGUGUAAAGCUUCAAUUUGGCUUGGGGAGCAGACAGAACAGGUCCUGAUAGGUGUCUAAGUGCUGGUUGAAGUACAGGUACGGGUUGCCGGAUAGGCCAAGACAUUUGAUGUGGGACCCAACCUAGAUCUAGAGGGUUGGGCAGUGUGUGCCAAAGGGGAGAGUCAGGCUGACUUACAGGGCUGGACACUUGAGAAGCUGCGAUGGGAUUUUUACUAGAGCUGAGCCAACAUAGGCACUGUGCCCAUGAACCUCCAAAACUGUGGGCCAAAUAAGUCUCUUCUCUGUAAGAAGCUAGCUUUUGUUGUGAUAAAAGAAAAUGAAUAGACCAAAUGAGUUCAGAGUUCAGUCAGGAAAGUGUUUGCCAUGUAAAUAAAAGGACCUGAGUUCAACAACCAGAACUCAAGUAAAGUUAAAAAUCAAGUGUGAGGGGAGGGAGGGCAUGUUUGUGAUCUCAGACUGGGUAAGCACAGAUACAAAGAUCCAGGAGACUCAUUGGACCUAACCUAGUUGGUAACCUCCAGGUCCUAGUAAGAGACACUGCCUCAAAAAACCCAGGGGAAUAAAGACACUGGGGGUUGACCUUUGUCUUAUGCUCUCUCUCUCUCUCUCUCUCUCUCUCUCUCUCUCUCUCUUUCUCUCUCUCUCACACAUGCACAUGUACACACACACAAACAUGCACAGUCACACACACUACACUCCACACUUACCAACACACACGUCAUACCCUCCCACAUCUCUCUCACACAGACACACACACACACACACACACAGACACACACACCCUGCAUACAUGCACACUCUGUCAAUUCUUGUCCUUUCUUUUUCCAGAGCUCCAAAGAGGUCAUUGUGAUGGUUUGAAUAUGUUUGGCCCAGGGAGUGGCACUAUUAGGAGGUGUGGUCUUGUUGGAGUAGGUGUGGUCUUCUUGGAGGAAUUCGUCACUGUGGGUGUGGGCUUUAAGACCCUUCUCCACUGCCUGGAAGCAAGUCUUCUCCUAGAGGCUGUCAGAUGAAGGUGUAGAACUCUCAGCUCCUCCUGUACCAUCCCUGCCUGGACACUGUCAUGUUCCCACCUUGAUGAUGAUGGACGGAAUCUCUGAACCUGUAAAUCAGCCCCAAUGAAACAUUGUCCUUAUAAGAGUUGCCUUGGUCAUGGUGUCUGUUCACGGUAGUAAAACCCUAACUAAGACAGCCAUGUCUGGGCUGAAAUCUCCAAAGGGAGAAUUGCUGAGUUUUAAGCUGACUUCACUCCAGGUGGGCAAGUCUGGGAGAGCAAGUAGAGGGGAAGCCUCAUGCAGUGACAGGAGUAGGGGACAGGUCAGGAGGGUUUGUUUGCCAGCAGUAUUUUUAUGGCAGUCAUCUCCUGUAUGACACUAGGGAAAAAGUAAGAACCCGAGGGAGGCAUUUUGAACAUGCACAUUCCUUUGAACAUAGCGUCACUCUGACAGAUAAACUCACACUCGUGCAGGGGUACAGAUUCGCCCACACUUGUGUACUGUGUAUUGACUGUGAUGACAAAGCUCUGAUCCAACCUACCUGGUUAUCAACCAAGGACUGUUCCAGUGAGUAUAGAAGACCCUGCACAAGAGACAGCUAUUCUCCACAUAGAAGGGUAUUGUUUUCAUUUUACCUGUAUGGAUUUUCUCUUCCAUAUAUGUAAGGCUAUGUACCACACAUGUGUCUAGUGCCUAUAGAAGGUGGAAGAGGCCAUCAGAUGCCCUGGAACUGGAAUUAUAGACAGUUGUGAGCUGUCAUGUGGGUGCUGUGAAUCAAGACUAGGUCCUCUGGAAUAACUGUACGUGCUCAUUACUCUUGUGAAUUUGGUCUAAUGCUGCUUAUAUUGUGUUCAUCUGGUCCCCCAGAUUGCACAAGAAUCCACACAUCCCCUGUCAGACACUGAGGGACCCUGCCCCCAGUUGGUUUUGAUUGGUAAAUAAAAUUGCUGGCGGCCAAUGGCUUGGCAGGGAGACAGAGGCGGGAUUUUAGGACUCCCUGGGCAAGGGGCUGAGGAAGGAGCAGGUAGAAGAUAGCUGUCAUGCCAGGGAUGGAAAGGGAGCAUCACACCUGAGAGGUGCAGGACAGAGAGACAGCCAACGCAUAAGAGCUGGGGAAGAGCAGCCUCAGGGAGUCUUCCAACUGGGUCUAGGGCAAUGAAGAUGGGAUAUAGAUUUUGGUAAUUACUCAGGAAUAUCAGAUGGGUGUGUAUUAGCCACACGGAGGUUUGGAAGUGGCUCAGCCAUUGAGCUAUUUAAGGCAUAUUAAAUAUAAGGCCGUGUGUGUGUGUGUGUGUGUGUGUGUGUGUGUGUGUGUGAGAAAGAGAGAGAGAGAGAGAGAGAGAGAGAGAGAGAGAGAGAGAGAGAGAGAGACCCAGAAUGUUGGCAUGGGUAGCAAGGACUACUGCCACCUAAUUGGGGACAGCAAUACACUAUCACUGAGCUUUUUCUCUAGCCUGAGAUACAACUCUUUAAUUUCUCCAGAUCCUCAUUUAUACAGAGAAAUAGGAGGCAAAAAUCAAAAGCCCGAGGGCAAUAUUUACAACAGAAUUAGGCCCCAAAUUAUCAUUGCUAAUAUCAAUGUACAUAAGCCAAGCACCAAGACUUGCAUGCUACCCAGGGCCAAGGAAAGUAAGGAAUCCAGAAAGGUAGAUGCAAAGAGCCAACAACAACAGAGUCUCAGAACAAUCCAGGCUUUCAAGAGAAAGUUCAGGUGAUCAACUGAGACAGUGGAACCAUGAGUUCUGCCCGGCAAGGAACAAUGGAAAAGCCCCAAGACAAGGAGCAAGGGGACAGAGCAGUCACUUUGGACAGAAGAGUCAAAAUGGAACAGGGCAGUGCUAAGAGGAAGAGGAAGGAAAGACUGUGUGUGUGUGUGUGUGUGUGUGUGUGUGUGUGUGUGUGUGUGUGUGUGUGUCCUCAGGACACAUGGACAUUAGGAAUGUGGGACAAAGGUGAAAAGCCAACAGACUUUCACUAUGUACCUCUUGAGCUUUCACUGCUCCUGUUAUUCCUCAGGGGGGGGGGGAAUUCUCAAAGAGUCAGAAGCUCUGUUCCCUCUAAUUUUCUGUUUGUCACACAGGGGGAGCUGUCUGUCUGACAGCUGUGAGGGUGGAGGCAAGGGCUCAGGGGGAGGGGGCAGGGGUAGGAGCACAGGGCUGCUGGCUGCUGCUUCAACACCUUUUGAGGCUACACAAACCAUAAGGCUUUCUCUCAUUUCAGCAUCCCCUCUGCCUGUUUCCUGGCUGGGUGUGAUUGAAGUUAGCCAGCGUUUGGAUGUCCCCAGGAACACCACUGAAUGGGUUUGGGGACGUUAGCUUUCUGUAGCGGGAGCAGAUGUCCGAAAUGAUCCUCUUUGGAACGUUUGUUUUGCUUGGUUCUUGAGGUCACAGUCAGUUAGGCGUUGCUUGGAGCACAGUGAACAGAAUCCCUCACUUCAUGGCCAGUAAGUAAAGGAGGGGCAGAGGGAGGGCAUGCUUCGAAUAAUCCUGAAGACCUCUCAGCGGGCUCCACUUCUUAAAGCCCCACAACAUGCUUUAGCUCCAUUCUGGGGACGGACAUGCUUCAACACCGGACAUCCACGGAAUUAGAGGUCUGAACUCCAGCAAUGUCCUCACAGUAUUCACCGAGGGGCAACCACAGCGCUGGUUUCUCCAUAUCCUCUUCUUCCUGUGACUGCUCAGACUGACCCUAACCUCCACCCUCAAUCUUAUAGAUACUGGAAUCAUGAGUUGUGGCACCAUUCCAAGUCUGGCCACUUUUAAGACAUAAUACAGUUUCUUUUUUGCUUACAUGUAUGAUAAGUGUGUGUAUAUGUGCAUGGUGUGUGUGUGCAUGUGUGCGUGUGUGUGUGUGUGUGUGUGUGUGUGUGUGUGUGUGUGUGUGUGAAUGUGGGCCCACAUGUGUGGAGGUCAGAGGAUGGCUUUCCCUUUCUACCCUGGGUUCCAGAGCCUGAACUCAGACUUGGUUGACAAUCAGACUUGUGCUGAGUGUCUUGCUGGCCCACAUUUCACCAUUUUUUCACCGGAAGAGACAGUCAAAGCUGGAGAGUGCUCCAUAGUACAGCCAUUCCUGGAAUUUGCAAGGAUUAGAUCCCCAACACCAUAAACAAGUAAAAGGCAAUCAGUUGCUAUUGUCAAGGGUUGCACCAAUUUAUAAUCUCAACCACAGUACAAAACACAAUCCUUGUGCCGCUCUCCUGAGACUCUCCCUCAGUACCGAGUAUAGAGCCACCAUAAAGAGGCUCAUGUGAGAAUCUGUGUGGCACCCCUUUCUCUUUCUCCACAUCCCUGCCGACAUUUCUGUUCAUUCAUUUUCUUGAUGGUGGCUACUCUGAUGGGGUGGGAUGGUCUAUUAAUGUGAUUUCAGUUUAUAUUUCCCUCCUAGUUCAGGACAUUGAUCAGAUUUCCAAUGUUUAUUGGCCAUUUGUAUUUCUGCUUUUGAGAAUGGUCUCACUCAUUUGUCCAUUUAUUGAUUGGAUGAUUUGCUUGCUAAUUUUUGUGGUGAUGGUAUUUAAUUCAGAGGAGGCCCCGUAGAUUCUGGGUGUCAAUCCCCGCUCUGGUGUACGGCUGCAGAUCUCUGGUUUUAUAGGCUCCUACUUUACCCUUGUGACUCUUGGCAUUGUGGUGCAGAAACUUUUAAAUUUCAUCUGCUCUUGUCUGUCAGGUCUAACGAUUAUUUCUGGAGUUUUCGGAGUUCUUCCCAGGAAUAUGCCUUUCCUAUUCUAAGCCAAAUCUCAAGAGCCCCUCCCUCCCCAUUUCCCUCUGGCAAUUUCUGAGUUUGGGGUCCUUCAUAGUGUCUAUGAAGGACCAUUUUGACUCAAUAUUUAUACAGAUGAAGAAAUAGGGUGUAUAUUUUUGCGUGUGAAUAUCUAGGAUGAAUGAAAAGGAGGGGGGUUGUGAAUAAAAUCACAAAU